GAUAAACGCUGGCGGCGUGCCUAAAACAUGCAAGUCGAACGGUUCACUUCGGUGAGCAGUGGCGAACGGCUGAGUAACACGUGGGUGACCUGCCUUCGAGCGGGGGAUAACUGCCCGAAAGGGUGGCUAAUACCGCAGAUGUCGAUGAUUCGGUUUGUCGACUGAACUUGAGGGGUUCGAAGAGGGGCCUGCGUCCGAUUAGCUAGUUGGUGGGGUGAAGGCCUACCAAGGCGACGAUCGGUAGCUGGUCUGAGAGGAUGAUCAGCCAGACUGGGACUGCGAGACGGCCCAGACUCCUACGGGAGGCAGCAGUUAGGAAUUUUGGGCAAUGGGCGGAAGCCUGACCCAGCAACGCCGCGUGGGUGACGAAGGCCCUCGGGUCGUAAAGCCCUUUUCCCAGGGAAGAUAGUGACGGUACCUGGGGAAUCAGCCCCGGCUAACUACGUGCCAGCCGCCGCCGUAACAC
rnacentral:rRNA from 1 species